AUUGGAUUCUACGCUAAUUGGGAACUUUUUCUUUGCUUGUCAAGUUGAUUGUACAAGUACUGUGCGAGGUUCUCACAAGAGAUACUUCUCCAUCACGUUAGUUCAGUUUCCACUGUUCGUGCGAGAUAGGUUCGGAGAUACUCUUACGUUAUUCAGACAUCAAAAUGACUUCAGGUUGGGAUACUAUGAAGAAGGAAGUACUCUGAUCUGAAUUAGUGGCUAAGCCACCAUGCGGAUAAUUCUGAAUCUGGCGCUUUGACGCUUUCUGGUGUAGCAGCUAAGCUGCGAUUCUAUAAUCGUGUCAGACAGACAUUUUAUGGUGUGUAGGGUUGGAUGGACAUUAAACGUCCUAUUGGUGUGUUGGGACGGCCGAAAACAGUGUGUAGAGGUUGGGGGUAGAAAAAACUAACAUAUGAAAUUGAUUUAUUUUGUAAAUGAAACUAAAACUACUUUUGCUUCUGUAACUAAACUGUUCUGUAUCUGAACUGUAACGAAUUCUAUUGCUUUCUUAAAUCUCAAGAUUCAAGAAUGCCCUUCAAUUGUAUCA